AAGACUGUGCUUCACAGGAUCAUUUCUGUAGGCUAGUUUUCACUACAAGUUUUUUCCAACAGGAAAAGAUUUCCCACCCGCGAUGAUGAGAUGCAGUGUCCAAGCCGGAGCGUGAAACUUGGUAGAGCUAUGGUUUAUCUAUCAGGAUAGAUCUCUCUGCUACUGAAGAUCGGCUCGUUCGCAAGGUUUGGACGCAAUCUGAGUGGU